UUUCCGUAGGUGAACCUGCGGAAGGAUCACUCAUAAUAAAGUGUUUUAUGGCACUUUUUAAAAAUCCAUAUCCACCUUGUGUGCAAUGUUAGAUCUCGUCAAUCUUGGCGAGAUCUUUAUACAUCAACUCAUUCUUUAACUAAUUUGUCUGAAAAAAUAUUAUGAAUACUUAAUUCAAAAUACAACUUUCAACAACGGAUCUCUUGGCUCUC
rnacentral:misc_RNA from 1 species